CGCGUAGGCGGCCCUGUAAGUCCGCUCUGAAAGUCAAAGGCUCAACCUUUGAAAGCGGGUGGAUACUGCAGGGCUAGAGUCCGGAAGAGGCGAGUGGAAUUCCUGGUGUAGCGGUGGAAUGCGCAGAUAUCAGGAGGAACACCAACGGCGAAGGCAGCUCGCUGGGACGGUACUGACGCUGAGGCGCGAAAGCGUGGGGAGCAAACAGGAUUAGAUACCCUGGUAGUCCACGCCGUAAACGAUGGGCAUUAGGUGUGGGAGGUGUCGACUCCUCCCGUGCCGGCGCUAACGCAUUAAAUGCCCCGCCUGGGGAGUACGGCCGCAAGGCUAAA
rnacentral:rRNA from 1 species